GACGAACGCUGGCGGCGUGCUUAACACAUGCAAGUCGAACGGAAAGGCCCUGCUUUUGUGGGGUGCUCGAGUGGCGAACGGGUGAGUAACACGUGAGUAACCUGCCCUUGACUUUGGGAUAACUUCAGGAAACUGGGGCUAAUACCGGAUAGGAGCUCCUGCUGCAUGGUGGGGGUUGGAAAGUUUCGGCGGUUGGGGAUGGACUCGCGGCUUAUCAGCUUGUUGGUGGGGUAGUGGCUUACCAAGGCUUUGACGGGUAGCCGGCCUGAGAGGGUGACCGGGCACCUUGGGACUGAGAUACGGCCCAGACUCCUACGGGAGGCAGCAGUGGGGAAUAUUGCACAAUGGGCGGAAGCCUGAUGCAGCAACGCCGCGUGCGGGAUGACGGCCUUCGGGUUGUAAACCGCUUUCGCCUGUGACGAAGCGUGAGUGACGGUAAUGGGUAAAGAAGCACCGGCUAACUACGUG
rnacentral:rRNA from 1 species